CCUACGGGAGGCAGCAGUGGGGAAUAUUGCACAAUGGGGGAAACCCUGAUGCAGCGACGCCGCGUGAGUGAAGAAGUAAUUCGUUAUGUAAAGCUCUAUCAGUAGGGAAGAAAAUGACGGUACCUGAGUAAGAAGCCCCGGCUAACUACGUGCCAGCAGCCGCGGUAAUACGUAGGGGGCAAGCGUUAUCCGGAUUUACUGGGUGGAAAGGGAGCGUAGACGGCAGUGCAAGUCUGGAGUGAAAGGCGGGGGCUCAACCCCCGGACUGCUCUGGAAACUGUACGGCUGGAGUGCAGGAGAGGUAAGUGGAAUGCCUAGUGUAGCGGUGAAAUGCGUAGAUAUUAGGAGGAACACCAGUGGCGAAGGCGGCUUACUGGACUGUAACUGACGUUGAGGCUCGAAAGCGUGGGGAGCAAACAGGAUUAGAUACCCCUGUAGUC
rnacentral:rRNA from 1 species